GUCUAGGGGCCAGUUUCCGGCUGCGCCAUUGCUGUGUGGGUCUUGGGACCUCGAGUUGGUGGGGGCGGGGGUAGGGCAGCGCUGAGAUUUCCGGGGAGCGGCAGGUGAGGCCGCGCGGGGCGGGUGACGGCACCCGGGCGGGCUCCUUUCCAGGCUGGAGCCCGAGACUGCCACGUCCUGCGGGGACCAAGUGGUGGGCGAGGAGGCGUGGAGCGGCUUCAGGACUCGAGGAGCGGUUCUGAAGCAGUUAGGGACUUUUGCUUUUGCCCCCCGAGGUCGAUUGGAAGACAACCCCCAUCCCCUGCUGUAGCCGGACAGUUGGAGGGUCAUGGGUGGGUGAGGUGUUUGGCUGAGGGAAACUCAGACCAAAGAGCAGCGGCAAGAAAGCAGUUGGGUCCCCACAAACCGUCCGAAGUCAAGGUGAGAGUCACACAACGACCCUUGACGAUUCCGGCGAGUUCAUCGUGGUUCACAUCCCACUCCAUGCCUCUCUCUUCUGCCUGGACAAUAGUUACAUCCUUAUGAAAAGGAGGCAAGCUGCUGGGCCUUGGUGGAUCCACUCAACCUUGUUACCAAGGGACAUGCCGCCAUGCUAUGUGAAAAGGGGGGUUUUGUUGUUUGUUUUUAAUUUAAGUAUCUAAUUCGUUUCACGAAAGAAUGAUCAAUACCGGCCCACAGUAAACUUGAUAAGUAAUUAAACUGUCAGGGCAUAGAGUUCCCAUAGAGGUGCUUGUUCUUUCAAUACACAAAUAAAGGGAUGCAAAAGUCAACAUGCAGAAAGGGUGAGUUAAUAUUGUCUUCUAAUCUACAGGAACUGAAAGAUUAGCUAAUCUGGUUUGGUUGGUGACCAAAUUUUGUGAUUGCUUGCACACUGUUUGACUACCUCUGACAAAUGUUGCAAGACCUCUUCACUGUUUGAUUCUCCAAAGACUAUAGAAUGUUCUCUUUCAGGAGCAAGCUGGGACAUGUUUAACUAGUUUAGGUAAAACAACAAUAACUGUUAUUUACCAGGGAACAGGCUUUUGGCGGAUAAUCUAACGAUCUACGAUACUGUCCGUUGGGCAUAUGUUAAUGUUUGUAAUGUUGUAUUACCAGCAGUUGUUUUCUUACUCCUUUUUAUUUGAAAACCUGGAUGAUAAUUUCAAAGCCUAUGCUGCUUAAGCCUAGCCUGUACCUUAGUAGCCAGAAAAAGUAGACUCAGUCACUGGAUUGUGUGCACUGAAUACUUACUUGAGAUAACUGAUUUUUCUAAAACUUCCCCAAGUCGUGAAUCCAAGAUGUGGGCAGAAUGUAUUAUUUUAACAUCCUUCGUUCCAGAGGCCAGUGCGUGUUUUAUUUUAACCAUGAUAGAUGGUUUUCCCAGUUACUGCCUCCGGAUAGUUGCAGUGCUGCAUUCCUAGUUAAAAGCCCAGAAGUCUUGGCAGGAAGAAAGGGCAUAUAAGGAGAAAGCCUUUGUAGCUCUUUAGCUGUAAUCUAGACCGGGGUCCCCAACGACGAACUGGUACCUGGUUUGCCUGUUAGGAACGGGGCCGCACAGCAGGAGGUGAGCGAUGGGUGAGUGAGCAUUUCCGUCUAAGCUCCGCCUCCUGUCAGAUCAGCAGCAUCAUUAGAUUCUCAUGGUGCGAACCCUAAUGUGAACUGCAUGUGCGAGGGAUCUAGGUUGUGCGCUCCUUAUGAUAAUCUAAUGCCUGAUGAUGUGAGGUGGAACAGCUUCAUCCUGAGAGCAGCCUCCGUCCCCGUCCAUGGAAAAAUUGUUUUCCACGAAACCAGUCUUUGAUGCCAGAAAGGUUGGAGACUGCUGAUCUAGACCAUGCCUUUACAGUCUAAGUUUGCUUAUCUAGCUUCAAGUUCCAGGACAGUCUGCAAGACCAGGAACAGCAUAGGGGUUGCCACAGUGGAGCUCCUUAUUGCAGUCUACAUUGCCUUAACUAAAGGUGGUGUCAGGAUUGAUUCAAAUACUGUGAACUACUUUCCAUAAUGAGGAGUCUGAGCUCGUGAACUGAGAUUCACAGUUGUGGUACAGUAAUGAUACGUAUACUCUGAUAAGUCACUCUGAGUGUGUUUCCAUUUAGAUAUGUGGAAAGCAUACUAGACAAUCUCCAAUGCCCUUUCAGCUUUAAAAUCUGUAAAUUGGACUAGAUUUGGUAAUUUUUCUUACUUAAAUAAAUAGCAUAGUAAGAUAUUUGAUAGAAACAUUAUUGCAAGUUUUCUUAAGGUCUUUUUUUUUUUUUUAAUUUUGAGACGGAGUCUCUGUCACCAGGCUGGAGUGCAGUGCUACGAUCUUGGCUCACUGCAACCUCCACCUCCCAGGUUCAAGCGAUUCUCCUGCCUCAGCCUCCUGAGUACUUGGGACUACAGGCGGGGAUCACCACGCCCAGAGACCUCUGGAUGUCUGAGCCUAAGCAGGGCCACUAAAUGAGAGGGAAUUCCAUCACUGAAAAGCAACAAUGAAUAUAUUAAGGACCACAGAGAAUGGAAUCUCUCCAUGUUGCCCAAGCAGGUCUCGAAAUCCUAUCCUCCCACCUCUGCCUCCUUAACCCUAAGUGCUGGGAUUACAGGCAUGAGCCACUGUUCGUGGCCUUAGGGACUUUUAAAUGUUAAAUUGAUUUUGACCUACCCAGGAGCUAGAGAAUACCAAUGAUUACAGAGGGGAGAAUGAAAUUGCUGUAUAGAUUUUCUGUGCUCCUUUAGAAAAUCCAUUCUGGAGUAAAGAGAUGGGCAAUUGGUCAACUCAGUUUCUUUCUGGUAUAAUAUGUCAGAGUUUGAUAUUGUCAGUCUGUUAACCAAGAUUUUUAUUGGGAUAUUUGCUGAAAGAGACUGUAAGAAUAUCCCAUCACCAGUAAUUAGAAUUUGUUACAGGUUUCAGUCAGGGCAGUUGAAAGGGAGUUAAUUUGGUAACACAAUAACCUAGUACCCAACUAACUCUGGAGCAUGAAGAAAAAUUGGUUGAUUAAGGCUUAAGUCAGAUAAGUAAUGUUAUAGGUUGACAUGGCUGGGUUAGCUCAGGUUUGUAUAUUUGUUUUUUCAAAGAGGCAGACUUUUCCUAAGAUUAGAAUCCACAGUAAUGAUGGAAGCAGAAAACUUAGGGGCAGGCCGUAGGUGUAAAAUCAAAGUUGAGCUGCUUCUGUGUCACAGCUGUAAGCACAGGAAGUUGCCCAUUUUUUUCAAGCACUAUUUCUGCAUAGUCAUAUAUCAGCUAGUGUUGUCAACAUAGACACGAGAGACAAUGGGAAUACAUACAUGGAAUUCCACCAUCAGCCAAAAAAGCCACAUAAGUCUUUGAAGCUCUCAAAUAACACUCAUGACACCGAAUGGUACAUUUUGAUGCACUUUGAAACUCUUAUCUCUUUAGUUGGUAAGUACAUUUGAACACUUAAUAUGUGCUCAGCAGAAGAGAAGGAGAACAAGGGAAGUCUAACAUAAAAUCAGGAUUUUUUCUUUUCUCCUUGAAGCCAAUUAGAAUGUGUGUAUGUGUGUGUGCGUGUGUGCGUGUGUGUGUGUGUGCGUGCGUGUGUGUAUUAUUUAGUGUAGUAACCCUUGGGUUUUUUUUAAAAAAACAUGUUUUACUAUGAAGUGUAACAUACAAGAAAGUGAUAACAUAUGACAUGUACAGCUUACAAAUGGUUGUAAGAAUUAAUACACUUCGUAACUGCCACCUAUGGUAAAAACAAGUAGGUGGAGAAGGAGGAGAAGAACAGAAGAAUUUAACUAGCAUGUCAGAAGUCUUAUGGAUCUCUUUCCAGUCACAACCCUCUCUCCAAGCUUGAUUCCUAUUCCCUGAGUAAGUUCUAAUCUUACUUUUUUUUUUUUUUUUUUUUGAGACAGAGUCUCAUUCUGUUGCCCAAGCUAGAGUGGUGCAAUCUCGGUUCACUGCAAUCUCUGCCUCCUGGGUUCAAGUGAUUCUCCUGCCUCAGCCUCCCGAGUAGCUGGGAUUACAGGCAUGUGCCACCACGCUGGGCUAAUUUUUGUAUUUUUAGUAGAGACAGGUUUUCGCCAUGUUGGCCAGGCUAGUCUUGAACUCCCGACCUCAGGUGAUCCACCCGCCUCAGCCUCCCGAAGUGCUAGUAUUACAGGCAUGAGCCACCGUGCCCAGCCUAAUCUUACUUUUAAAGUAAUCAUUUAUUGCUUUUCUUUACAGUUUACCACUUGGAUGUGCAUCCAUAUGUACCAAAUACAACCAGAAAGUUUAGUGUUGUGUGUCUGGAAACUUUACAGAAUGAGGUCAUACUUUAUAUAUUCUUUUGUCUUGUUUCUUUCACUUGUUAUCUAUGAUGUUGAAUGUAGAUGCAGUCUGUAUAUUUUCAUUGCUAUGUAGUAUUCCAUUAUAUAAACGACAACUUAUUUAUCCAUUCUACUAUGUUGGACAUCUGGGUUGCUUACAGUUUGCGUUACAGGUAAUGUUGCUGUGAAUAUAGUUAUGCUAUCCCUUAGUGCAUAUAGGCUUGCAUUUCUGUUGGACAUAGUCCUAGUCAGUAAAAAGGAAUAUGACAGAAGUCAAUGAAACCGUCUUUUUCUGAAUGAAAGUGUAGUGAGCCAGUAAUCUAAUGAGGAAAACAGCUGUUCUUUUUGUUAUUCUAAUGGUAGGUGCUGUCUGGAUAUAAAGAUGACUAUUUUCAUCCAGGUAAUUAAAAAGAUUAUUCAGGAUUAUAUCUUUGCUUAAUAUGAAUGUCUACAAGUAUGUUUCACCAAGAAAAUAAAAUACAUUUUAGUUUUAAGCCAUAUCUGGUAUUAUUUCUAGAAUUCUAAAAUUAACAGGAUAAAAAGUCCUUAGAGGGCAAGGAUUCUUUCAUUUUUUAAAUGUACUUCACAGUGACCAUAGCAAUGCUAUUAAGAUGCUGAAUCCCAACCAAAUAUGCAUUCUCUUGAUAAGUAUACUUUGGAGUAAAAUUAUUUGUACAAAUGGAUAUAACUUUUCAGAUGUCCAGAACUUUAAUUUUUCCUUUAUUCUAAAAAGGGGGAAAAGAUGGAUUCCUUUAACUUAAAACUGUUUCUGUUUUGAAAGCCCCUAUCCUGAAAGAUAGAAAAUAAUAGUUUUGAUGAAUCCAUGUAAUAUUCUGUGUUCUUCACAAUUUUUCUUACAACAUUAUUCCUAUACAUGUUCUUAGUAUAGAUAAUAUUAAUGUAUUUCUGAGGCCAUUAAUAAUUAUAAUUUGGGCCUUUUGUUUGCCUUUUGAACCUGGAAGACAAAAUAGAUAGUAUAUUAAGAUGCAAAUGUAUAUUUUCUAAUGGACUUGUGCUUCAAAGCAUGUGUAUUUUAGGGCUUGGCCUGAUUUUGCCAGCUAAGGCCAGAUCAUUGUAAAUUGAUUUCAAUAUCUUUCUGCUUUUAUGAGCUUUGUUCUAAAGCUUCACAGGAAGAAUCAAAAUAAUGUUUGUCACACUAUUCUAGCUUAGCUGAAAUCUUGUUCCUGUUUACACUAAAUGACCAUUGGCCUAAUGCAGUUAACAUGAGUACUUUACAACUCAUCCGAGAACUAUUUCAAGUGUUGAGGAAAAGGCACUUUAAUUGAAAAAUUACUUAUGCAGGAUCAGACUGAGCGAGAAUGCUGUUUUUUGUACAUUCAGCAUAUUACACAUACCAUGAUCCAUUUUGCUCCUUUGUUAUAACAAAUGAAUUCUUUUUUGCAAUGAAAGGAUUCUUAUGGUUUAUCUUCCUUGGGGAUUGUAACUUUCAAAAGGUGUUCUUAAAUAUAUUACUACUUUAUUUAAACUAUUCACUUCCCAGAUGUGCAGUGCUUUGCACAAAGAAUAAUUCACUAAUGCCCUGAACACACAAAAGGAAAAUGCUCUGCUGGGUUUCCCUUUUUAUUUUACUUUCCAGUGGUAGGUUUAUGACUUGAUGCCCAGCUUCUUAAUAAAUUCACCUCUCACAGGACACAGUUCUCUUUAGUAUGUUUUCCAUGCUUAUAGAAAGAAACACUGUAUUAGCAAACACCAGUAGAAAUUUCAUUUUCACCAUGUUGCUUUCUCUGGGUAUAUAUAGAGAAACUCCUUAAAGGGCUUCUCCAGGACAACUAAAAGUUACCUUUUUCAUUGAUCUCUUCUGUGGUUUUAAAAUAUUUUCUUGACAACAUAUUGUUUUUAUUAAUCCGAAUUAAGCAUUUUAGAUUCUUUUAUGAAUUUAAAAGAUAUUAAAACCAAAGAAUUGGAAAAAUAUCUAAGAAAAGUUACUAAUUUCCAUGGUGGGGUACAGAGUUGGUGUGUGUAGGAAGUUAUACAGGCAGAGGAGCAUUGGAAGAAAAGUGGUGUUUAAGGAAGAUUACUGCAAACUGGCAGCAGGCAAGAGUCCAGGACGUUUACCCUUCCACCAAGUUUUCCCAGCCUGCUCUAGCCAUGCUAUUAUUUUACAAGCUCCUAUACAUAUUAUAUAAUAUAUAAGCAAGAAUGGAUGGAUGGGUCAAAAUAAAAUGCUUCUAUCAGCAAGUAUAGAAUAAUUCCCCUGAUAAGACAGCAAUGGUCGAAAUUCACAUGAAAUAAAAAGAUCUUGGGUAUGGUUUCUUCCCUGGACUUAGAAUUUUAAUAUGUUAAUGUACAUCUUGAGGUUCCAAAAAGGGCCUUAUAUUUCAAGGAAUGCUGGUGUUUCAAGCAACAGAGUUUGGGAAACAACAAGUUAAAAGAUAAUCUAAUGCAUUUAGGUAAGAGGUAAGUGAAAGUUAGAAUAUAUACUUGAGCAACAUGUAACCAUAAUGGCUGUGGAGUCCCAGCUUUGAAUAUCUUGAAGAAUAGACAAUUAUCAAUGUUCCUCCCUCUCAAAUGAUCCUUCUCAACACAGGUUGUGCUUGAUGAGGUAGAACAGAAUCUUAGCAGGAUUUUGUCAAAUGCCUUUUCUUCUUCAUCUGUUGAGAUAAUCAUGUUUUUCUCUUUUAGUGUGUUAGCAUGAUGAAUUCCGUUGAUUGAUUUUCUAAUGUUAAACCAAUCCUACAUUUUUCAGAUAAACCCCACUUGGUUAUGAUGUACUAUCCUUUUAUCUCUUUAAUAUAUUGUUGUAUUUGAUACUCUAAAAUUUUGUUUAGAAUUUUUACAUCUAUGUUCAUAAGGGAUACUGGUUUGUAGUUUCCUUUGCUGUAAUAUCUUUGUAUUUUCUGCCCUAUUUUUGGAAAUGUUUGAGUAAAAUUGUUAUUUAUUCAUUAAAUGUUUGGGAGAAUUUACCCU